GGGCGUGUAGCACAAAGGUCAGGGCAGGCGACUUAUAAUCGUCCGAUGAGAGUUCGAGUCUCUCCACGCCCA
rnacentral:tRNA from 1 species